UAUGACGGUCCUAAGGUAGCGAAAUUCCUUGUCGGGUAAGUUCCGACCUGCACGAAUGGCGUAACGACUUCCCCACUGUCUCCAACAUAGACUCAGCGAAAUUGAAUUCUCCGUGAAGAUGCGGAGUACCCGCGGUCAGACGGAAAGACCCCGUGCACCUUUACUGCAGCUUCAGAGUGGCAUUAGGAAAGAAUUGUGUAGAAUAGGUGGGAGGCUUUGAAACUUGGGCGCCAGUCCGAGUGGAGCCAUAAUGUGAAAUACCACCCUAUUGUUUUCUGGUGUCUAACUUCGAUCCGUUAUCCGGAUCAGGGACCCUCUGUGGCGGGUAGUUUGACUGGGGCGG
rnacentral:rRNA from 14 species